rnacentral:sRNA from 1 species
GUCGUGAGAUGUUGGGUUAAGUCCCGCAACGAGCGCAACCCUCGUCGCAUGUUGCCAGCAUUUAGUUGGGGACUCAUGCGAGACUGCCGGUGACAAACCGGAGGAAGGCGGGGAUGACGUCAAGUCAUCAUGCCCCUUAUGUCCAGGGCUACACACGUGCUACAUUGGCGCGUACAGAGGGCUGCGAUACCGCGAGGUGGAGCGAAUCCCUCAAAGCGCGUCUCGGUUCGGAUUGCAGGCUGAAACCCGCCUGCAUGAAGGUGGAGUUGCUAGUAAUCGCGGAUCAGCAUUGCCGCGGUGAAUACGUUCCCGGGCCUUGUACACACCGCCCGUCACACCACGGGAGUGAGCAACACCCGAAGCCGGUGGCCCAACCCUUUGGGAGGGAGCCGUCGAAGGUGGGGCUCGUGACUGGGGUGAAGUCGUAACAAGGUAGCCGUACCGGAAGGUGCGGCUGGAUCACCUCCUUUCUAGGGAGCCCCUUCGGGGGCCGGCUGGGCUUCGGGCCCAGCUGCCUAGCACGUCGACCGGACUUCGGAAGCCAGGCCUCGGCCUGGUUCAUGCUGUUGAGUUUUGAGAGACGACGAACGAUCCGCGGCCGCGCCCCCGUGCGCGGCCGCCGGUUCCCAGUCCUCUUGGCGGUCCUUGAAAACUGCACAGAGUCACACAUCGCGCAGCACCGGCCUCGUGCCGGCGCUGUGAGAGUUUAUGGGUAUCACCAGAACUGGGACCCGAUCCCGGUUCUGAUCACCGUCAAGAUAGUAAGGGCACAUGGUGGAUGCCUUGGCACCAAGAGUCGAUGAAGGGCGUGGACGGCUGCGAUAAGCCGCGGUGAGGCGCUGAACAGCCUUUGACCCGCGGAUGC